rnacentral:rRNA from 1 species
UUUUUAUUGAUGGGGGCUACCUGCAGUCGACGAUGAACCCAGCUUGCUGGGUGGAUUAGUGGCGAACGGGUGAGUAACACGUGAGUAACCUGCCCUUGACUCUGGGAUAAGCCUGGGAAACUGGGUCUAAUACCGGAUAGGAACGUCCACCGCAUGGUGGGUGUUGGAAAGAUUUAUCGGUCAUGGAUGGACUCGCGGCCUAUCAGCUUGUUGGUGAGGUAAUGGCUCACCAAGGCGACGACGGGUAGCCGGCCUGAGAGGGUGACCGGCCACACUGGGACUGAGACACGGCCCAGACUCCUACGGGAGGCAGCAGUGGGGAAUAUUGCACAAUGGGCGAAAGCCUGAUGCAGCGACGCCGCGUGAGGGAUGACAGCCUUCGGGUUGUAAACCUCUUUCAGUAGGGAAGAAGCGAAAGUGACGGUACCUGCAGAAGAAGCACCGGCUAACUACGUGCCAGCAGCCGCGGUAAUACGUAGGGUGCGAGCGUUAUCCGGAAUUAUUGGGCGUAAAGAGCUCGUAGGCGGUUUGUCGCGUCUGUCGUGAAAGUCCGGGGCUUAACCCCGGAUCUGCGGUGGGUACGGGCAGACUAGAGUGCAGUAGGGGAGACUGGAAUUCCUGGUGUAGCGGUGGAAUGCGCAAAUAUCAGAGGAACACCGAUGGCGAAGGCAGGUCUCUGGGCUGUAACUGACGCUGAGGAGCGAAAGCAUGGGGAGCGAACAGGAUUAGAUACCUGGUAGUCCAUGCCGUAAACGUUGGGCACUAGGUGUGGGGACCAUUCCACGGUUUCCGCGCCGCAGCUAACGCAUUAAGUGCCCCGCCUGGGGAGUACGGCCGCAAGGCUAAAACUCAAAGGAAUUGACGGGGGCCCGCACAAGCGGCGGAGCAUGCGGAUUAAUUCGAUGCAACGCGAAGAACCUUACCAAGGCUUGACAUGUUCUCGAUCGCCGUAGAGAUACGGUUUCCCCUUUGGGGCGGGAUCACAGGUGGUGCAUGGUUGUCGUCAGCUCGUGUCGUGAGAUGUUGGGUUAAGUCCCGCAACGAGCGCAACCCUCGUUCCAUGUUGCCAGCACGUAAUGGUGGGGACUCAUGGGAGACUGCCGGGGUCAACUCGGAGGAAGGUGGGGACGACGUCAAAUCAUCAUGCCCCUUAUGUCUUGGGCUUCACGCAUGCUACAAUGGCCGGUACAAUGGGUUGCGAUACUGUGAGGUGGAGCUAAUCCCAAAAAGCCGGUCUCAGUUCGGAUUGGGGUCUGCAACUCGACCCCAUGAAGUCGGAGUCGCUAGUAAUCGCAGAUCAGCAACGCUGCGGUGAAUACGUUCCCGGGCCUUGUACACACCGCCCGUCAAGUCACGAAAGUCGGUAACACCCGAAGCCGGUGGCCUAACCCUGGGGGGAGCCUCAAGUGACAGGUUCCC